UUUCCGUAGGUGAACCUGCGGAAGGAUCAUUGUCGAAUCCUGCGAUAGCAAAUUGACCCGCUAACGUGUAAAACACAUUGGGCGAGCGUCGGGGGGCUUCGGACCCUCGUCUGUGAACCCUAGGCAGGUGGCCCUUCGGGUGCCCACUGGCCUACGAAAUCGGGCGCGGAAAGCGCCAAGGAAAGUAAAACUGAAAUGCAUGCGCGCUUCAUGUACGCUUGAAGUGCCGUCAUUUUGAAACACAAACGACUCUCGGCAACGGAUAUCCCGGCUCUC
rnacentral:misc_RNA from 1 species